rnacentral:rRNA from 1 species
UGGGGAAUAUUGGGCAAUGGGCGCAAGCCUGACCCAGCAACGCCGCGUGAAGGAAGAAGGCCCUCGGGUUGUAAACUUCUUUUAUCAGGGACGAACACAAUGACGGUACCUGAUGAAUAAGCCACGGCUAACUACGUGCCAGCAGCCGCGGUAAUACGUAGGUGGCAAGCGUUAUCCGGAUUUACUGGGUGUAAAGGGCGUGUAGGCGGGAGAGCAAGUCAGAUGUGAAAACUCAGGGCUCAACCCUGAGCCUGCAUUUGAAACUGUUCUUCUUGAGUGAUGGAGAGGCAGGCGGAAUUCCGUGUGUAGCGGUGAAAUGCGUAGAUAUACGGAGGAACACCAGUGGCGAAGGCGGCCUGCUGGACAUUAACUGACGCUGAGGCGCGAAAGCGUGGGGAGCAAACAGGGAUUAGAUACCCUGGGUAGU